rnacentral:rRNA from 1 species
CCUACGGGUGGCAGCAGUGGGGAAUAUUGGACAAUGGGGGGAACCCUGAUCCAGCCAUGCCGCGUGUGUGAAGAAGGCCCUCGGGUUGUAAAGCACUUUCAGUGAGGAAGAACGCCUGGUGGUUAAUACCCAUCAGGAAAGACAUCACUCACAGAAGAAGCACCGUCUAACUCCGUGCCAGCAGCCGCGGUAAUACGGAGGGUGCGAGCGUUAAUCGGAAUUACUGGGCGUAAAGCGCGCGUAGGUGGCUUGAUAAGCCGGUUGUGAAAGCCCCGGGCUCAACCUGGGAACGGCAUCCGGAACUGUCAAGCUAGAGUGCAGGAGAGGAAGGUAGAAUUCCCGGUGUAGCGGUGAAAUGCGUAGAGAUCGGGAGGAAUACCAGUGGCGAAGGCGGCCUUCUGGACUGACACUGACACUGAGGUGCGAAAGCGUGGGUAGCAAACAGGAUUAGAUACCCUGGUAGUC